rnacentral:lncRNA from 1 species
UGGAGAGUCGUUUUUGAAAGAAGGAACGACCCACCCCUCUGAUUUUGGAGCACCCAACAACCUUCUUCAACCUUAGAACCAAAACAAGCUGAACCCUAAACCCCCAUAGACCACCAACUGCCGCCAGCCUUAACGCCCAAGACUCGCCAAAAAACGAGCACCAGUGUCGCUGGCUACAAACUAUCCAGCCGCCAGUCAUCUUCGCCAUCUCCAGCCGUCCACCUCCAGCCGUCUCGCCGGAAUUCAACCACCUCCAUACACAAACGACCUCUAUCAGCCUCCACCCUAACCCCGAUCUCCAUCAGCGACCACACCCGCCGAACCCCACCCCAAAAAACGACUUUAGAGACGAAGAAAAAUAGCAACAAUUGCUGCUUCUUCAACUCCUCCUCCCACUAACCAGUGGCGAACUCGCCGAAAAACACACAGCCAAAUCGCUGGAAAGAAAUGGGCCAUGUUGUCGUCCAAGGUUCGUCGGUCCCGGUUCGUUUGUGCAAGGAUUCACGUUCGGAUUUUGUUUUUACUUCUGUUGCUUGCCUUAUUUGAUAUGCAAAGAAAGCAAAUUUUAGUUUGUUCGAUUUGUCGCUGUUUGCACUUGUUCGAGCUUGAAAUUUCGUCACUGACGUUUCAUUUGUCCGUGCGCUCGAUCAGAAAUUAAGUAUAAGGAAUUUGCUUGAUAAGGUUCACUCUAACCCCUUCUCAGUUGUUUCAAUGCUUGGUUACAUUUUAAUGUUGAAUAUUUUUUCCCUUGCUUGUUUGUUUUGUUUUGCUACUCAUUUGUUCUGUUUUAGAAAAUCUAGUAAUGUUCUUUUUGUUUAAUUUUGUUUUUCUUCAUUGAUUUAGUUCUUCUCCAUGUGGUGUUCAUUUGAAAAUUCCAAAUAGUGGAUGCAAGUUAAGUAAUCAGAGUCGUUAAGAGUUUAUAGUAAAUUAAUUUGGGCCUUUUAAUAGUAAUUGGGUUUGGAUUUGUAGAAAUAAAAUCAAAGUGGAUGUUUGGCUGAUACCUUAGGCUUUACACAUACAUAGUCUUUAACGAGUUUAUGUUUUGGAUUAUUGUUAUACCAUGACAAUAUGUUCAAUAGAGUCAUAGUUUAAAUUAAUAUGUUUGUUUGAUAUUUCCGUUAGAAGCAUGCUUAGGCCGGCAACACUCGGGUAGGCAAGCCUUAGGAUUUUGUUAGUUUCAAGGCGAGAGAUCGUUCCUUUAGUUAAAUUUAUCCGGGGAAUGCCCCGAGGGAUUUGUAUAUAUUUUAUUUCAGGGGUAUGCCCCGAAGUGAAUGUAACGGAGGCCGCAUCUACACCGUGGAGGAAGUAUAGUGUAGGUUAGCUUAGAAUUUUACUUUUUAUUAUUUUUAUUUUUAUUUUUCUUUUAUUAGGUGGGGACGACCUAGAUCCUCUUUUGUGUUUAUUUUUGUUUGUGUGUUUUCACCUAAAUUUGAGUAUUCUUAAAAGCCAACUUGAUCAUAUAUGCAACAGUACUAGUUUCGGGACUCGGGGAAUGCCUAACACCUUCUCCCCGAGUCAAAUGAACCCCCUUACCCGAAUCUCUGGUGCAGACUUAGUUUCGGAGUCUAAAGUGUUUUAAAAGGAAAAUCUAUUUCUUAAAAAAUGGCGACCUGGCACACCGAAACCAAUGUCAGGUGGCGACUCUGAGUUAUUUCCUUUUGAACAUAAUUUUUGUCACGUUCUAAUUGGAAAACCCUUUUCAAGCUUUACAAAUCACUUUUAUAUUUUUAAGAGGGUUAGUGAGGUUUGUAAAAAAAGAGUGUGACAUCUCUGGCGACUCUGCUGGGAACUUGCAGGUUCGAGCUAGUACUUGAUCUUGUUGGCUUUUAGGAUAUUCGGUUGAGGUGUUUGUUUUCUUUAUUUGCUUUGUUUGUCUUAUUUCCUUGUUUUGUUGGUUAUUUGUUUAUCGCCUUUCUUAAUGUGCUACUGCUUUAUAAACUGUCAUCAUUUGCAUAACCAUGGGUCUUCUUUCUGCAACAAGUCUCGGAGUACGCGUCGCGUGCACGAACUCUUUGUUGAGUCACCAUUAAUUUAGGAGGGGGGCCGUCGGGCGUAUGGAGUGGGUGGAAAAGCUUGAGCAGCCACCAUCGACCAUACGCUCCCCCGAAUUGCCUUGUUAGUGAACCCCAAACUUAGGUAAGCCUUUAGGUCAUUUUUAUUUGCAUAAUGUUAUUUAGACAUGGCAGGGCUCGGUCCCAGGUAUCGUGUCCCGUCGUAGGAGGCCUAUCCAAAUUAUGUAAAAAAUGAGCCCAUUGCCCAAUGACAUUUAAUCAUCCUAUGUGCUAAAUGUUGCAUCUACGAGGGUAGAAAGGUCAUUUGGCAGACCGAUGUUUUGGAAAGAAGGGUGAAAAAUGAAGCAAGUUAUUUUUCUUUCACAACUUUUUCAAUAAAAAACCAAAUUCUUUUUAUACUUUCCCAUUAUUUUCCCAAACAAAUCAAAAAAAAAAGAAAGAAAAGGAAAGUUCAAAAAGAUUUUGCACUUUCCCAUUAUUUUCCAAAAAAUAGAAAAAAAAAAGAAUUCCAUCAUUUUUUUUCAAAAACUAUAGUUUCUCCAAAUUAGUUGCAUUUUUUAAGCUUUCUCUCGUGUCAGAUCUUCUCGAACUACGCGAACCUGAUUCUCGUCUUUCGGGGCAGGAUACGUAGGCAACUCACAUAGGGUCCGGUCUUUCUUAGUAAGCCUUAGGUUUUUGGCUUCGCGGGGUCUUAGCCAAAUCUUGCAUAUCUAGCCACUUUUGGCCACACCGACUUUGUUGCAAAAUGGGGCUAUUUUGCGAAGUGGCUUAUUGGGCCGUGUUUGGAGAGUCUAGAAUCCACAAUUAGGUGUCUCCCUACUUCAAGGCCCGUUCCUGUUGAAUUUGCGUGUCUAGCCAUUUUUGGCCACAUCGGUCAUUCUUGCAAAAUGGGGUCAUUUUCGCAAAAGUGGUUCAAUUACCCAUGUCUUAGGAUCUUGAGGCCACAACUCGAUAUCAUAUCACUUUAAGGUCCAUCCUUGUCGUGUUUGUGUCCCUAGCCACAUUUGGCCACAUUGACCGUUUUUGCAAAAUGGGUCAUUUUUGCAAAAUAAUUUUGGGCCAUAAUUAUUGGGGGUUUGAAGCCAUAUAAGCCUUACUGAGGCAUUUUUCACGUUUUUGAGGUCAGUCUUGUUGAUUUUACCCUAAUAGCCACAUUUUGGCUACGUAGGUCAUUUUACAAAAAUAGCCUUAAUCAUGCCUUGCAUGUGUCCAAUAGAAGGUGUCGUGGCAUCACAUGUGUCUUGAGUCUAACUCUAUUUGAUCUUAUUUUCCCAUUCAGGUAUGGAUCAGUGUACCAAAGCUCGAGCAUGAUAAAUACCCCAAGACCACUGCAUUUAUGAGUUGCUUAUAAAUACUUUUAUGUUUUAGUCUAUCUUAUGUUGUCUUUUAAUUUUUAGUUUUGUACAGUAGUAUCUAGUCUGUCAAUCUAGUUAUGAUUGUCGAGUCUUUUGUUACAGUACUUCCUGUUUUGUAUUUGAAAAACCAAAAAAAUUACUAAAUGAAAAAUCCCAAAAAAUGUUUGUUUCUUAGUUUAUUUUGUCCAUUAUUUUUUUAGAACUAGGCGUGAUCUGAUUCAUGAGGGGCAUGAUACGUAGGCAACCUACAUAGGGUUCGAUCGAAUAAUCUUUUAAAAAAACAAAGAAAGGAAAAAAAAAAGAAAAAAAGAAAAAAAGAGAUGAAAUUGUGCAUGUGAGAAAUGAGAGGAAAAAAGAGAGAGCGAUAAUUAGAAAGAAAAGAGGGGGAAAGAAAUGAAAAACCAAGCGGUGUUAGAAAGGAAAAUGAAGAAGGAAAAGGGCCAGAAGAGUGAAAUUGGGAUGAAUGCUCUCGAAGCAUAAGUCAUCCCAAUUGUUGUUGCUAGGGGCAUUGCACGGAAUAUGAUAUUUCUCUUUGAUAAAUGCUCUAACGCUAACAUGUUGGCUUUGUUUUGGUCCUCUUUAUUACUUUCAUUGUUAUUAUAAUAGAGGGUGGUUAGUUUUUGGUACUUUGGUGAUUCGUCCAUACAACACCAGAAAGCAUAAGUCAGUCAUGGCUAGCAAAGAAACAGACACUGAGGUUGUACACCCACCAAGGGAGAUUGUAGAAUCAGAAUCGGAACUGAAAGAGGAGGUCUGAAGGUUGAAACAGCAGAUGGAAGAGAUGUAUCAGUCUUGGGUCCGGGGGCAUCCUCCACCUUCAUUCCUCACUAACUACACUGAAAACUCUGCAACUAUCCCACCAUUAUCACAAGCCCAGGUUCCCACUACCGUUGACCUUUCCUCUCAACAUGCACCGGGCUUUACCCCUUACCACAAUUACCCUGGCACUUCCUCCCAAAUUUUCCAUGCUCCACCAGCCAAAACAACCUCAUACCCUGCUCCGACAUCUGCUCCUAUUUUUGUAGCUCCUCUACCAGCUACUCUUCCUCGAUCCUCUAGCGAGACUGUGUUCAAAAUCCUCGAUGCUCAAGGAAAGAGACCCAAGUAAAGUUUAGGGAGUUUUGGUUCAGAUGGAACGAACAAGUUGCUCGGGUCAGUUCUUCGAUUGAUAGAAAAGAUGUUUCUGAGCCCCGCCAAAGACAUGAUCCAGUAGGCAUUCCUACUGAACGUUUUCAGCCUCAAUACCGGCCCCAUAAAUAUCCUCGUACUCCAGAUAAUCCUCACCAAUGAUACUUCCCUCCACAAAAUCCCCAAAGUCAUACCUCACAUCCCCAUUACUCUAUCCGCAAUGCACCGCCAUAUGCUCCACACUCACAAAACCCGCAACGGAUUGCACCGCCUCCAUAAAUGUCCUACCCACCUCUACAAGCAUAUCAACCCCCUACCCAAAAGAGGUUCCAACCAAGGUUGGAGUACAAAAUGAGGAGGCAGUAGCAAAGAGAAAAGUCUUUCACUCCAAUCGAAGAAUCCUACACAAGCUUGUUUGAAAGGUUAAAAUAGUCUAGCCUGAUUGAGCCGCUCAUCGACUAUACUCCGGACCCAUAUGCAAAAGGUUUUGAUUCUACUGUACGGUGCAUGUACCACUCUAAUGUCCAGGGGCAUAACAUUGAAGAUUGUCGUGCUUUGAAAAGGGAGAUAAAAAGAAUGAUUCAAGAAUGGAUAAUUGUGGUCCAAGACAGUGUCACCCAGAACAUCGCGCAGAUUCCUUUACUUGCACAUGAUAAUGCACACUUUGUGGGAGAGAUGUGUGGUGAUAAGGAGUAUGAGAAUCCUCUGGGGAACUUGCUGACUGAAGUGAAUGAUAUUGAAAUUGAUGAAGGUCCCAGUAAUUUUGAUGUACAACCCAGUGGAUAAGACGUCGAGCUUGGUAAUUGGAAAGACACUCCUUUCUUGGUAAUUGGAAAGACACCAGGGAGGAGUUUCGAUGGCUUAUUUUGUUGUUAUUUCUGUUUGUCCAGGUUAUUUCGGGGUUGUACUCCGGACAUUGUCUUGUGGAUCAAACCCUUCUGUUUCUUAUUUUACCUAGUUCGUUUAGUGAUAGUAACUCGUGUAGUGUUAUCUAGGAUUGUUCCAGGGUUGUAACCCAUGUCUAUUUUGCUUGUUUUGUUCAAACCCUUCUCAUCAUCUGUCUAAUGCAAUCUCAUGUUUUUUGUUAGUUCUAGUCAGUUUCGUUUAGGUCAUUUUUUCUUUUAUAAUUCUUUUCAUGCUAACUCUAGUAACAUGACAUGCACACAUAAUUCUCAGCCUGGUCUUGAAAGUUAGUCUAAUCAUGAAGUAAUGACGCGGUUUUUGAAUAUGAUAAAAGAGGCAUUUGAGGAAACAAGUAGAGAUUCACGCAUUCUAAGAUUACCUGAAAUUUAAAUUGAGUGAAACCGAGAUAGUAAAUCUGGGAAAUCAAGAGGUUGAUAAGAGCAUACAAUAAGGAAAUGUCUCUCAAGCAGUUUGAGAAUAACCAGUCAGUGCUGAAAUGCAUUCUUCCACAUCAAUAUAAGGUUGAGUCAAGUCUGAUUCGAAUUGGUAAGGAUCAUUCAUUGGACCAAAGGUAUUGCUUGUCGGCACUUUUAGUUUGUGAUGAUGCCAUCAAUAGAUAUUGUACAUGAUUUCUUUGCUUAUCUUCAAUUGCAUGUUUGUACUUGGCAUUUUAAAGUUUAGUAUGACGAAGGCAUUUUAUUCUGCUACCCCAAACAUUUUUAUCUUUUACUACCCCUUUUGAGCCUUAAUUUUCAACUUUACUACCCCUCUUUUGGAAUCAGAAGUAGAGUUGGGAACUAGAAAAGAAAAAGAAAAGAUAAAAAGAAGAAAAAGAAGAGAAAAAGAAAAAAAGAAAAAGAAAGAAGGAAAAGAAAAAAACAUUAUUUUUUGAACUACGUUCGACCUGAUUCUUGUCACCACAAGAUACGUAGGCAGCCUUACGGGUUCGGUCGCACCAAAUAAAAUAUUUCAUGAUCUUCCGAAGUCAAGAGUGGGGCAGAUUUUCUUAGAAAUCCCAUCAAAAUAAAAGGCAAAAAGCAAAAAAAAAAAUCCCCAAACUCCAAGAAACUGGGGCAGAAGUUUUAAUUUUGCCAAAAGGCCUAAUUCCAAAAGUUAUAAAUUUGAACCAUUUCAUCUUAAAUUAUUUUGAGCCUUCAUGCCACCCUUUCUUUCUAACCCUGUCCAAAAGCCUAUAUUACGGUCCAAAGAAAGACCUUCCAACCAAUCUUUGAGGAUGUCAAAUAAAGUGUGCGGUAAAAGUCUGAUCUUCUUGUAUCAUGGGUAAUACCUUGUUCUCAUCGCAAAGAGAGAAAAUGAUAAAAUGAGAGAGUCUUUUUGGUGAAAACACUCAUGGUCACCGUAAGGCGAUAGUGAGUUGAGAAAAAGAGCAAAAUAAGAGAGACUUGAUGGUGAAAACCCUUCAGGGCACUACAAGUCGAUUAAGGAUUGUGGACCAGAUGGGACAAUUGAAGCGCUGAAGCCCAGUUUCACAGCGAAGAGGUACAACAAGAGUUGAAUAAUAGACUCGCUUGAGAGAUUAGGCCACUUAAUCCAAAGGUAUGUGUCAUGGUCAUUAGAGUUGGUAUCCACAUCUGAUAAGUUUCUACUUUGUAAUUUUCUUGUUAGGUACCAUCUCUUUUCCUUGUUCCUUAUAUUGUUCCUCUUGUUUUGUUUGAGUCCCUUCUUGAGUCUAUUUGGUCAGAACAAGUGAGAAAUGACUUCAAAAUUUGCUACCAACUUUCCAAUUGCACAAAAUGAACUUGGCUAUCACAUCAAAGUGGCAUAAGUCAGGGAAAAGUGGUAUGCACACUGAGUUGGUAACAAUCAACAUGCUUUAGGAUUCAUGUGAAAUGCAAGGGUUCGGUAAAUGUCAAUUCAUGAGCAAAAUGCAACGGAUAGAGGAUAUUGGGAUCGAAUGGAAAAUAGGUAUUUUCUGUGAUAAGGGUUGAAAUAAAAUGGGUAGUCGAUGACAGACAAAGUUUUCCAAGUUGAAAUCAAAGUUAUCUUGGCAAGUGCAGAAGCAACCGCCUUCAAGGUCAAGGCCAUAAACUAACCAUCACAUUUAAACUCACAAGUUUUCUUUGUUUGAAACAGGAACAAAGCAGUGCAAGCAAGUGGGUUCAAAAACAAGAAAAAAGAAAAAAGAAAAAAAAGAAGAGAAGAAUCGACAAAGGGAAGUUUCUCAAAUCAUUUCCCUUAUCUAUCUUGUUAGUGUGCCUAAAAUGUUGCCAUUGCUCUUCACAUUUUUCCUCCUAGGAUAAAAAGUCCUAGUCUGGUGGAUUUUCCUCCCAAUCAAAUCUUAGUCUGAUAAAUUUUUCUCCUAAGAUAGAAAACCUAGUUUGAUGAAUUUUCUCCUAGGAUAGAAAUCUUAGUCUGAUGAAUUUGUCUCCUAAGAUAACAAAAAGACCUAGUCUGAUGAAUUUUCUCCUAGGAUAAAAAUCUUAGUCUGAUGAAUCUUUCUCCUAAGAUAACAAAAAAACCUAGUCUGAUGAACUUUCUCCUAGGAUCAAAAUCUUAGUCUGAUGAAUCUUUCUUCUAAGAUAACAAAAAGAUCUAGUCUGAUGAAUUUUCUCCUAGGAUCAAAAUCUUAGUCUGAUGAAUCUUUCUCCUAAGAUAAGAAGGACCCAGUCUGAUGAAUUUUCUCCUAAGAUCAAAAUCUUAGUCUGAUAAAUUUUUUCAUAGGAUAAAAUCUUAGUGUGAUGAAUCUUUCUCCUAAGAUAAAAAGACCUAGUCUGAUGAACUUUCUCCUAGGAUCAAAAUCUUAGUCUGAUGAAUCUUUCUCCUAAUAUAACAAAAAGGGACCUAGUCUGAUGAAUUUUCUCCUAGGAUCAAAAUCUAAGUAUGAUAGAUCUUUCACCUAAGAUAAAAAGACCUAGUUUGAUGAACUUUCUCCUAGGAUCAAAAUCUUAGUAUGAUGAAUCUUUCUCCUAAGAUAACAAAAGGGAUCUAGUCUGAUGAAUUUUCUCCUAUGAUCAAAAUCUUAGUCUGAUGAAUCUUUCUCCUAAGAUAAGAGACCCAGUCUCUUGAAUUUUCUCCUAGGAUCAAAAUCUUAGUCUGAUGAAUCUUUCUACUAAAAUAACAAAAGGGACCUAGUCUGAUGAAUUUUCUCCUAGGAUCAAAAUCUUAGUAUGAUGAAUCUUUCUCCUAAGAUAAAAAGACCUAGUCUGAUGAACUUUCUCCUAGGAUCAAAAUCUUAGUCUGAUGAAUCUUUCUCCUAAGAUAAAAAGAAAAUCUUUCUCCUAAGAUAAAAAGAAAACCUAGUCUGAUGAAUUUUCUCAUAGGAUCAAAAUCUUAGUCUGAUGAAUCUUUCUCCUAAGAUAACAAAAAAAAGGACCUAGUCUGAUGAAUUUUCUCCUAGGAUCGAAAUCUUAGUCUGAUGAAUCUUUCUCAUAAUAUAAUAAAAAAACCUAGUCUGAUGAAUUUUCUCCUAGGGUCGAAAUCUUAGUCUGAUAAAUUUUUCUCCUAAGAUAGAAUACCUAGUCUGAUGAAUUUUCUUCUAGGAUAGAAUCUUAGUCUGAUGAAUUUUUCUCCUAACAUAGAAAACCUAGUAUGAUGAAUUUUUCUCCUAAGAUAACAACAACAACAACAACAACAAAACAACAACAACAAUAACAAAAGAGAAAAAAAGAGAAAAAAGGGACUUAGUCUGAUGAAUUUUCUCCUAGGAUCAAAAUCUAAGUCUGAUGAAUCUUUCUCCUAAGUUAGAAGACCUAGUCUGAUGAAUUUGCUAGUCAAAUAUUCUUGGUUUUAUUCACAGGAGACGCACAUCCUAGUCAAGUCUUUAGUUUUAUUCUCAUAAUUGCAUCAAUAGCAUAGGUGAUUUACAGUUUUGCUAACAACUCACCAAUCUUCCUUGGGCAAACUGGGGCAGAAAAUUUUGCUUGAUUUGUUGUUUUGAUUGCAGGAACCCACCUGGAGAAUGAGGGAAUUCGUUUCGAAAUUAUUUCAAGAUUCAAGUCAGUAGCAGGCACCCACCUGGAGAACGAGGGAAGUCAUUUAAGAAUUCAAUUCAAGUUAGAAGUAGCAGAAGCUCGUGGCAAGAAUACGAGUCAACAAUCCGAGAUGACCAGCAUAAGUAGUCUCAAUCCAAAAAAAAGAAGAAAAAGAAAGAAGAAGAAGUGAAUCCAAAAUGCAGAAGCAGAAAGAAAAAAAGAAGAAGUGUGAAUUGCUCAAGACAUGGUUGAAGUCAUGAGCGCUACAUGUCCGGUCUUGAUCCGAAAAGCUAAAGAAGAAUGAACUAGAACCUGCAGCUAGCAAACGUCAAGGUUCAAAUCUAAAGUCUGCAUGAAGAACCAUUUAAGACUCAAGAUCAAGCUUCAGAAGACUUAUAGAUAGGAAUUUUGUAACUUAUAGCUAACAUGCUUAGUUAGUCUUUUUUAUUAUUUUUUAAUUUUGAUGUAAUAACAGGACCGCGGACUAGAACCUCGACGGAAUGGUACCUCGACCGGCUCUCCACCUUAGUAUACUACAUCACCUCAUUCACUUCUGAAUACACGUGACCUGAUUUCUUUAUAGCCAAGGAUAUGUAGGCAGCUCAGAUACCAGGGCUCGGUCACAUUCUUCUUCCUCUUAGUUUUUGGUCUCGCUAAAUAAGGGUCGGGUCAAAAAACCUGUCUAGUCGUUCUUUGUCUGAAAAUACUUCAUAUUUCCAGUCAAAAAGGGGCAGCUGUAGACAUGUAAUUUUUGACCCUCCCCGAGAUUUCACCCAUUUUAGCGUAAAAUAUUUAGUUUAGGCCUAAUAUCGAUAUUUCAAGUAGUCUCGACUCUUUUACUUUAUUUUAUCAAAAAAAUGAAAAUUACAAAAAAAAAAAAAUUCUUCUUUUAGUUGCUUUUAGUUUAUUAUUUUUCGUAAAACUAAAAAAAUACAAAAAUAGUUCCAUAUUUCUCUAUUUAAUUCACGUAUUAGAUAUUUUUAGAAGGAUAUAUUACUUUGAACCUAUUUCUAUUUUAUUUUAAUAUAAUCUUUGAAAAUGCCAAAAAUAGUUUCAACUUUAAUUUGUAGUUUUAAUUUAAAUAUAAUAGUUUAUUAAAAUCAAUUGAGAUUUAUUUUAUACCUUGUUAUAGUAUUUUUAAAAAACAAAUUAAUUUUUCAGCAUUUUUCUAGCCCAAUUUAACCCUAGCCCAUGUUUUAUGUGACCCUAGUACAUAAAAGACUACACCCUUUUUCAUAUUCUUCGGGAACCUUAGACAAAAACAUACAACAAAACCCUAGAGAGCUGUUUUUGAAAGAAGGAACGACCCACCCCUAUGAUUUUGGAGCACCCAGCAGCCUUCUUCAACCUUAGAACCAAAGCAAGCUGAACCCUAAACCCUAAGAGACCACCAGCCGCCGCCAGCCUUAACGCCCAAGACUCGUCGGAAAAUGAGCACCAGUGCCGCUGGCUACAAAUCAUCCAGCCGCCAGUCAUCUUUUCCAUCUCCAGCUGUCCACCACCGGCCAUCUCGCCGGAAUUCAACCACCUCCAUACACAAACGACCUCCAUCAGCCUCCACCCUAACCCCAAUCUCCAUCAGCGACCACACCCCGCCGAACCCCACCCCAAAAAAUGACCUUAGAGACGAAGAAAAAUAGCAGCAAUUGCUGCUUCUUCAACUCCUCCUCUUACUAACCAGUGGCGAACUCGCCGGAAAAUGCACAGCCAAAUCGCCGGAAAGAAAUGGGUCACGUUGUCAUCCAAGGUUCGUCGGUCCCGGUUCGUUUGUGCAAGGAUUCACGUUCGGGUUUUGUUUUUACUUCUGUUGCUUGCCUUAUUUGAUAUGCAAAGAAAGCAAAUUUCAGUUUGUUCAAUUUGUCGUUGUUUGCGCUUGUUCGAGCUUGAAAUUUCGUCACUGACGUUUUAUUUGUCCGUGCGCUCGAUCAGAAAUUAAGUAUAAGGAAUUUGCUUGCUAAGGUUCACUCUAACCCCUUCUCAGUUGUUUCAAUGCUUGGUUACAUUUUAAUGUUGAAUAUUUUUUGCCCUGCUUGUUUGUUUUAUUUUGC